AGAGCAAGGCCGCCGCCAGCUCUCCCAGGAACCGUCGCGAGGCGUCCCCUCGGCGGCCGCCUCAGUUUCCCUGGCCGUAAAACGCGGGCGAUGGCGCUCGAUGCCCCGGGAGACGCCGGGGUCCGCGGGCCCUUCCGGCACCGGGUCCUCCUUCAGGUUCGGGCACCCGGCUGCCUCCACGCGGGGCGAGCGCGGCGAUGGGAUCGGUCCGUGCUGCGCUCAGCCCCGCUUUCGCUAUCCCUCUGCUCCAGGGGCAGCAAAAUCAGCAGAUGAGCCCCCAGCGCGCCUGCGGCCCACACACUGCGGCCGUAACAGUUAAACAGACGGGGAACAUUCAUGUGCGUAGAGCUCUUCACGGGGCGAUACAGAAAUGUGUCGUUCUAAAGCGUUAACGACCUGCAAUUUGCAUAUCCUCCAACACAUGGAUUUUACUGAUUCAAUUAUGGAUGUGUGCAAAGAAUCUGCUGCUCGCACCCUGUGAGGAGGGUUACCUCUGUGGAGCCGGUGAAGGCGAUCUUGUUGAUCUGAGGGUGAGAAGAAAUUGCUGCUCCCACUGUGGGCCCGAAUCCUGGCACAAUGUUCACCACUCCUGGAGGGAACCCGGCCUGGGAAGAAAUCAAGAUAGCACUUGAAGAAGAACGGACUUCAUCCACCACGGAUCCACAUUUGGGCCGAGAGAGCCGUGGCUGCCUCACAUCCCCACAGGGAACCCGGGCCGGGCUGGAUUUACCCAGGACCCAGAAGCAGUUGACCGUGGGCACCCUGGGAGCUGACCUGGGCUUCUCAUCCCCUGCUGCCAGCCCAGUGUGCAGGCUGGGCAAGGGGAGAUGCCCACUUCUCCUUCUGGGGGGGGACCCCAUCCCAAAGUGAUAUGCAGUGCAAAUGUGUGGUUAUGCUUCAAGGUGGCCAUGGCCCGCCUGUAGCACAGCACCUUUCCAUGUGGGGUGUGUGUGUGUGUGAGGGAGAGUGUGUGUAUGCGUUAAGGGGAGAGGGGUACCUUGAUCAGAAUGCCCUGCCCAGGAUCAGAGGCACCUGCAAAAUAUCUGCCAAGAGCUUCAGUUUUGUUUUUUCUUCUUUUUUUUUUUUUUGAGAUGGAGUCUUGCUCUGUCGCCCUGGCUAGAGUGUAGUGGCGCGAUCUUGGCUCACUGUAAGCUCCGCCUCCCAGGUUCACGCCAUUCUCCUGUCUCAGCCUCCUGAGUAGCUGGGACUACAGGUGCCCGCCACCACGCCUGGCUAAUUUUUUUUUUUUUAAGUAGAGAUGGGGUUUCACUGUGUUAGCCAGGAUGGUCUCGAUCUCCUGACCUCGUGAUCCACCCACCUCGGCUUCCCAAAGUCCUGGGAUUACAGGCGUGAGCCCAGUUUUCAUUUUUUAAUCAGACCCGUUAUUAUUCCAAAUGGUGACAGGGUAUCACUCCCUUAAAGUUCUUUGCUUGUUCAACCUGGGUCUCACCUGGAGCAAGCCCUUCUGGAAGGCAGGGACUGCCACCUCGUUCACGUUCAUGCCUCGUGUUUUUCAUAUACUAAGCCUCUUUAUCAGGCGAGAACACAAAACAAACGAGGUGGAGGAUGCUCUUCCCCACCUGUGCUGAGUCUUACUUAGAACACAUUAUUUCAGAAAAUCAAGAUUUUAGGCACGCUGCUUGAGUCUUUAGAUUUUUAGGCACUGUUUCUUAACAGUUGGGAUUUUCACAUUCCUAAGUCUCACCAGUGUGACUUAAUUAUGCCCCACAUCACCAAAGGAAAGUGGAAAAUUGGCUCAUCACCAGCUGUUCCCACCUUGCUUCUAAGCAACUGUGGACCUGCCUGCCGGUCAUAUCAGCCCGACUAAGAAGAGAAAGGAAUGGAUCUUUUCUUCUGUCCCUCUUUGCUUCCUGUUGCUUUCUCUAAAUCUUUGCUCCAUACAACCUGGGGAUGGAAUGACUAAAGGUAUGUCUGGAAGGAGGUGUCCCAUUGAGCCUCUGUUUCCCUAAGUUCUGGCUGCCUGAGGGAGAAGAGAUUGCAUUCAGAGCAGAGGGCACUGAUUAGCAGGGACCCGGCACACGGACUGCUGCAGCCGCCCAGCUAGAGCUGACGAGGCCACCUCUCCAGAGAAAAAUGGACCAUUUCAUAAACUGAGAAUGCAAAUCCCAGAGAACCUCCCAAAUAUUUGGCUCCCUCUUGGUUGACCCCCCCUGAAAAUUCUCUAGACAAACCACUGGGUCCUCAACCAUAGGUUUGAGCCCAUAAUAAGAGUUAAGCAUUCUCAUUAGGACCACUGGGAGGAAUGGAGUUUCUCCAGCUCAGUGGCCACAAGCAGGAGAAAGAACGUGCAGUCGCCAAACAAAACACUGGAAGUCAUUCCCUUCCCACUCGAUUGCCAGCAGUCUGCCACUGUCCCAUCUCGUGACGGUGGCCUGGUUCCUAGGAGUGGGAAUGUUACCAAGAACAUGUGAUAUUUUCUUUUUGGAUGUCUCACCUCUUUGAUCAGAGAGCCGAGAUAAAGGGCGGUGAGAGGUGUCUGCUCCGCAGGCUUCAGGACCAUGGUGUUCCCACAGCAGAGGGCGGGUGCCAGCUUCCACACCAGCAUCAGCAGGGGGAAGUUCCACUGCGACAGAGCACAGGGGCUUUGGAGGCCCAGAUCCACCCUCUUACCCUGUCCCAUGUGCUCAACGAUGCCUUUGUGGAGGACACUUGCUUUUCAUGGUCUGGAUUUGGGGUAUGUGGGGUAACAUAGGAGUGUGCAAUGAUCAGAACUGCAAUCCUGCACAGCACUUCCUAAACUGCAUUCUGGGUGGUACUAAUAGGCAGCCUUUGCAAAG
rnacentral:lncRNA from 1 species